UGCAGUCGGACGGGAUUCAGGGAGUAGCUUGCUACGAACUGAUGAGAGUGGCGCACGGGUGCGUAACGCGUGAGCAACCUACCCAUAUCAGGGGGAUAGCCUCUCGAAAGAGAGAUUAACACCGCAUAACAUCAUUUACCGGCAUCGGUUUUUGAUCAAAUAUUUAUAGGAUAUGGAUGGGCUCGCGUGACAUUAGCUAGUUGGAGAGGUAACGGCUCACCAAGGCUACGAUGUCUAGGGGCUCUGAGAGGAGAAUCCCCCACACUGGUACUGAGACACGGACCAGACUCCUACGGGAGGCAGCAGUAAGGAAUAUUGGUCAAUGGAGGCAACUCUGAACCAGCCAUGCCGCGUGCAGGAUGACUGCCCUAUGGGUUGUAAACUGCUUUUGUCAGGGAAUAAACCUUUCUACGUGUAGAAAGCUGAAUGUACCUGAAGAAUAAGGAUCGGCUAACUCCGUGCCAGCAGCCGCGGUAAUACGGAGGAUCCAAGCGUUAUCCGGAUUUAUUGGGUUUAAAGGGUGCGUAGGCGGUCCUAUAAGUCAGUGGUGAAAGACGGCAGCUUAACUGUCGCAGUGCCUUUGAUACUGUAGGACUUGAAUCUAUUUGAAGUGGGCGGAAUAAGACAAGUAGCGGUGAAAUGCAUAGAUAUGUCUUAGAACUCCGAUUGCGAAGGCAGCUCACUAAGUUAGUAUUGACGCUGAUGCACGAAAGCGUGGGGAUCAAACAGGAUUAGAUACCCUGGUAGUCCACGCCCUAAACGAUGAUAACUCGAUGUUUGCGAUACACAGUAAGCGUCCAAGCGAAAGCGUUAAGUUAUCCACCUGGGGAGUACGGUCGCAAGAUUGAAACUCAAAGGAAUUGACGGGGGCCCGCACAAGCGGAGGAGCAUGUGGUUUAAUUCGAUGAUACGCGAGGAACCUUACCCGGGCUUGAAAGUUAGUGAAUGAUCCAGAGACGGAUCAGUCCUUCGGGACACGAAACUAGGUGCUGCAUGGCUGUCGUCAGCUCGUGCCGUGAGGUGUUGGGUUAAGUCCCGCAACGAGCGCAACCCCUAUGUUUAGUUGCCAGCA
rnacentral:rRNA from 1 species